AGAGUUUGAUCCUGGCUUAGAACGAACGCUGGCGGCGCGUCUUAAGCAUGCAAGUCGAACGGCAAGGAUGGUAGCUUGCUACCAUCCCUAGAGUGGCGGACUGGUGAGUAACACGUGGGUGACCUACCCUUGAGAUGGGGAUAGCCAUUAGAAAUAGUGGAUAAUACCGAAUACGCUCUACGGACUCUGGUUUGUAGAGGAAACAGGCUACGGCCUGGCUCGAGGAUGGGCCCGCGUCCCAUUAGCUAGUUGGUGAGGUAAGAGCCCACCAAGGCGACGAUGGGUAUCCGGCCUGAGAGGGUGUACGGACACAUUGGGACUGAGAUACGGCCCAAACUCCUACGGGAGGCAGCAGCUAAGAAUAUUCCGCAAUGGACGAAAGUCUGACGGAGCGACGCCGCGUGGAUGACGAAGGCCGAAAGGUUGUAAAAUCCUUUUGCUGAUGAAGAAUAAGCGUGGUAGGGAAUGACCGCGUGAUGACAUUAGUCGGUGAAUAAGCCCCGGCUAACUACGUGCCAGCCGCAGC
rnacentral:rRNA from 1 species